rnacentral:hammerhead_ribozyme from 1 species
AUCCAGCUGACGAGUCCCGAAUAGGACGAAACGUUCGUCCUAGAU